GGCGGUUCCCACGCGCCACACGUGGGGCUGGGCGCUCGGCAGGCCCGGUGAGCCGGCAGGAUGGGGCAGGCGGGCUGGAAGGGGGUUUUCCAGUCGGCCUUCGACUACAAGACCGAAAAGUACGUGAUUGCCAAGAACAAGAAGGUGGGGCUGCUCUACAGACUGCUGCAGCUUACCAUCCUGCUGUACCUGGUCGUAGUGCUGUUGUCACCAAAGUCAAGGGCGUGGCCUACACCAACACCUCGGAGCUUGGGGAGCAUCUCUGGGAUGUCGUGGACUAUGUCAUCCCACCCCAGCAUGCAGAGGCCCCAGCCCUUGCCAGGCAGCCCUGGGAAGGAGGGUCCCCAAGAGGGUAGGAGGAGGUUCCUCAACCCCUCUGUGGUUCCUCAGGGAGAUAACGUCUUCUUUGUGAUCACCAACUUGAUCGUGACCUCCAACCAGCGGCAGAGCACCUGUGCCGAGCGUGAAGGCAUUCCUGAUGGCAUGUGUUCUCAGGACAAAAACUGCCACGCCGGGGAGCCUGUUAUAGCUGGAAAUGGAGUGAAGACUGGCCGCUGCCUUCGGGUGGGGAACUCGACCAGGGGAACUUGUGAGAUCUUUGCCUGGUGCCCAGUGGAGAUGCAGUCCAGGCCCAAGAAGCCACUCCUGAGGGACGCUGAAGACUUCACCAUUUUCAUAAAGAACUAUAUUCGUUUCCCCAAGUUCAAUUUCUCCAAGGCCAACGUACUAGAAACAAAGAACAAAGAUUUUCUGAAAUCCUGUCGCUUUGGGCCCGACAAUCACUAUUGCCCCAUCUUCCGGCUGGGCUCUGUGGUCCAGUGGGCAGGGAGCAGUUUCCAGGACAUUGCCCUGGAGGGAGGUGUGAUAGGAAUUCAUAUUGAAUGGAACUGUGACCUUGAUAAAGCUGCCUCUGAGUGCCAUCCACGCUAUUCUUUUAACCGUCUGGACAACAAACAUGCAAAAUCUGUCUCCUCUGGGUACAACUUCAGGGCGGGUGUCAGAACAGGAGGUUCAGGAGUGACAGCUAAGGUGUGGAGAGGACCCUGCAGAGUGGCUGGCGAGGACAGCAUAGCGAACACCUCUGGCCAGGAGAAGAUGCCUGUUCCUGCCCUGCUCUUGCCAUGGUUUGCCAGAUACUACCGAGACUCAGCUGGGGUGGAGUUCCGAAACCUGAUGAAAGCCUACGGGAUCCGCAUUGAUGUGAUAGUUAAUGGCAAGGCAGGGAAGUUCAGCAUCAUCCCCACCAUCAUCAAUGUGGGCUCUGGGGUGGCGCUCAUGGGUGCUGAUACACGCAGGGUUUCUCAACCUUGGCACCAAGGACAUUUGGGCCAGUCCAGGAAAACUGAGUCCUGUAACAGAAUUCAGAGGCUGUGCUCCUGAGAGUGAUUAAGAAUGAGCAGUAAAUGGAUUCCUCCUAACGGCAAUCAGCUAUUCAGGGACCCCCAGAGGUGUGUAUAUGCUAUUUCUUAUGACGUGGGGCAAAUCUGAACAUGUGGGGACACACCUGUCAGAUGGAGGUAAUGGUGCAGAGAAAAGGUGGUAAUGGAGCCUGAGGGAGUGAGGAGGAACAAGGUAUUGGUAAGUGACAUUUUUGGCCUCUGGGGACCAGGUUUACCAGUCCUGACGCUCUCCAUCAGCCCCCUCCUGGCCUCCCCUGUGAUGUUUGGGAAUGUCAAUGCUGUGCUAUAUACAGUCUCCCUCUGGUGGAGAGGAUAGGCACUGCACACAGCCUGCUCUGGCUAAAGUGGUGUGUUCAGGAUGAGCUCAGGACGCCUCUCUCCCUUGAUCACUCCUGUAGCAUGUUCUCAGACUGGCUGAUUCUCAACCACCCUUCUAAAAAGUGCAUUUCACUCUUCCCCUGCAUGUCCUGUGGCAUUUCCCAGGCAACAUUAGCUUGCUCCUCCCUCUGUAAUGCCCUUUCUAGCCUUUGUAUAAACUCCUGUUCAGCCCUCAAGACUCAGCCCAGGCAUCCCUCUUUAGGCAGAGUAAGGUCCUGUCUUCCAUUCAUCUCCCCAUUAUAGGAUGCAUCACUGCAUCAGGGAGGAUCCUUAGAGCGGCUCUGUGCUCCACCUCCUCCGUGUAGUGGGUGCUCGAAAAAAUGUGUUGAAGAAAUGGUUGGAUGGGGUCUGUGUAGCAUGGGCUGUGAGAUUGGGUGGACGCACUCCUUUUUAACUGUGUCCACCGUGAAUCAGCUCCAUCGCCCUGGAUUAGGUGCCCCUUUCUCAUGUGUUAAAUGGGGAAAUGGUGCCCCACUUAUGGGUCAUUACAGGAUCAAAUAGUAUGAAGCCUAGGGUUCUGAGUCUGGGUCCCCCAACUCUUUUGCAGGGGGCUUUCUUCUGUGACCUGGUGCUCAUCUACAUCAUCAAAAAGAGGGAGUUUUACCGUGACAAAAAGUACGAGGAAGUGAGGGCCCGAGAGUAUGCGGCCCAGGAGGCUGAGGCUGAGGACGAGGCGAUGGAACAGAGGCAGACAGAGGAGGAGCAGCCAGAGGGGGAGCGGCAGGAGGAGCAGCCCGCGGCCCCGC